ensembl:lncRNA
GAGCAACACGUUCCCCACGCCCUUCCCCCAAUAAAUCACUGUAACACGUCAAACAGAACACAGCAAAGCUUCAGGAUUUGAAAACAGUAGUCCCAGGAGGAGAAGAGGGCAACAGAGGAUGAGAUGGUUGGAUGGCAUCACCAACGCAAUGGACAUGAAUUUGAGCAAGCUCCAGGAGACAAUGAAGGACAGGGAAGCCUGGUGUGUAAUAGUCCAUGGGGUCACAAAGAGUCAGACUUGACUUAGCAACUGAAAACAAGGCUUUACCCAUUAGGUUUCCCCAUUGCUUCUGCAAGGAGUUCUUGAACAGUCUAGAGUGGGUUCUUGAAACCCACUCUAAACCAUCAAUUUAGUUUACCCAUUUCUCAUACAGAGGGUAAGGUGAAACUAACUCUGAAAGAAAUUUGUCCAAGUCUAGAUAAGAUAUGCAGAUCAUAUCCCACCGUUCAGUUCAGUAAUAGAUGUUAUGAGUUUCCAGGAGGACCAGCAGAUUCUUUCAACCACGUCACCCAAAUUCAAGACUCAGAGGUUCCAGUUCAGUUACUGUGCAUUACAGCUUCAGAUAUCUAAAGGGAACACACUGAUUAGUUAAGACUUGUUUUUAGGCAAAAACAUACGUGACCCAUAUUCGGAAUCAGAACAUUCGUUGCAAUCUGUGCUUGGAGGCAGACGUGUUUGUUUAUUUUACGAGUUUUUAAAGUGCCAACUCCCCAGCAGUGAAUUACUUAAUGACUCAAACACAAACCCCAAACUCCAAACUGGCUCAAGAGAGGUGGCGAUUACGGAAAAUUCUACUUCAUCUAGCCCAAAGAACUGACCACCCGUGAGCUGGAAAACAGACCUCAAAGCAGGAAAGAAACAGAAGUGUCCAAAGAAGAUGUGGAAAACACAACCCAGAAAAAGCUGACCCUCAAGAAAGAAGUCCGAUUCCAGACCGGUGUCAGUUUCCAGAACUGAAGAGCUAUAUGUGCUGAGUGAGGACAUAUUAAGUUUCCUGCUUUCCAUGGAGAAAAGCAAAUGCUACCCUAGCCCUUAAUUAAGGAUGUUAUCAUUGGUGACAGUGAUGUACCUUGAGCAGGGAAUACUGAAAAGAUGAUGAAGAUCAGAGCCAGGACUUGUAAUCCAGCAGCCUGAGUCCGGAACCUGCAGUCACCUACUAUGCUCACUAUUUCCCUACAUUCCCUACAUGAAGAUUUACCAGGCACUGUGCAAAAAGAGGAAAUUUGGACAUGCAGAGAGAUACCAGAGAUGUACACACAGAGAGAAAAGCCACAGGAAGACUCAGCGAGAAAGUAGCCACCAGCAAGCCAAGGAGAGGGGAGCCGGCUCUGUGGGCAUCUUGGUCUUGGACUUUCAGCCUCCAGAGAUGGGAAGUAUUUAGCUGUCAUAUCAUGAGGACACUCAAGCAGCAUGUGGAGAGGACCCUGUGGGGGAGAAACUGAGGCUUCAUGUCGACAAUCAGCAUCAUUUUGCCAGCCCUGCCAAUGACCCACUUUGGAAGCAGAACCUCCAGCUUCAGUCUAGCCAUUAGAUGAGACCACCACCCUAGCCGAUCAAAAUGGCAAACUUAUGAUAGCCUCUGAGCCAAAACCACCCAGGCCAGCUGUUCCCAAAAUCUUUUAAAAAAUAUUUCUUUACUUUAUAUGGCUGUGCUGGGUCUUAGUUGUGGCACAUGGGAUUUUCCAUCGUCAUUGGAUCAUGUGGGAUCUAGUUCCUUGAUCAGGAAUCGAGUCCAAUCUCCUUGCAUUUGGGCUUACCACUCCAGUGUUCUUGCCUGGGAAAUCCCACGGACAGAGGAGCCUGGUGGGCUACAGUCUGUGGGGUCACAAAGAGUUGGACAGAGCUGAGCGGCUGAGCACUCACAGCUGAGCCGACACACACACAUACACCAUAGGGUGGUAAAAGAGGGAAGAAAGAGAAGAAAUGUAUGCACUGGUAUAUUUAAAACAGAUAACCAAAAGGACAUGGUAUAGCACAGGGAACUUUACUCAAUAUUCUUUAAUAACUUAAAUGGGAAAUGAAUAGAUACAUGUCUGUGCAUAACUGAAUCACUUUUCUAUACACCUGAAAGUAAUACAACAUUGAUAAUCAACCAUGCUCCAG